rnacentral:misc_RNA from 1 species
CAGAGUUGCAAAACUCCCACAAACCAUCGCGAGUCUUACCCGUACGGUUGCCUCGGCGCUGGCGGUCCGGAAGGCCCUCGGGCCCCCCGGAUCCUCGGGUCUCCCGCUCGCGGGAGGCUGCCCGCCGGAGUGCCGAAACCAAACUCUUGAUAUUUUAUGUCUCUCUGAGUAAACUUUUAAAUAAGUCA